rnacentral:rRNA from 1 species
AGUGAACGCUGGCGGUAGGCCUAACACAUGCAAGUCGAACGGCAGCACAGUAAGAGCUUGCUCUUACGGGUGGCGAGUGGCGGAUGGGUGAGGAAUACAUCGGAAUCUACUUUUUCGUGGGGGAUAACGUAGGGAAACUUACGCUAAUACCGCAUACGACCUACGGGUGAAAGCAGGGGAUCUUCGGACCUUGCGUGAUUGAAUGAGCCGAUGUCGGAUUAGCUAGUUGGCGGGGUAAAGGCCCACCAAGGUGACGAUCCGUAGCUGGUCUGAGAGGAUGAUCAGCCACACUGGAACUGAGACACGGUCCAGACUCCUACGGGAGGCAGCAGUGGGGAAUAUUGGACAAUGGGCGCAAGCCUGAUCCAGCCAUGCCGCGUGGGUGAAGAAGGCCUUCGGGUUGUAAAGCCCUUUUAUUGGGGAAGAAAAGCAGCAGGUUAAUACCCCGCUGUUCUGACGGUACCCAAAGAAUAAGCACCGGCUAACCUCGUG